rnacentral:tRNA from 1 species
GCCCUACUAGUUCAAUGGUAGAAUGACUCCUUCGUACGGAGUAGGUUGGGGUUCGAUUCCUCAGUGGGGCUC